AACGAACGCUGGCGGCAGGCUUAACACAUGCAAGUCGAACGCCCCGCAAGGGGAGUGGCAGACGGGUGAGUAACGCGUGGGAAUCUACCUAGUUCUACGGAACAACUGAGGGAAACUUCAGCUAAUACCGUAUACGCCCUACGGGGGAAAGAUUUAUCGGAAUUAGAUGAGCCCGCGUAAGAUUAGCUAAUUGGUGAGGUAAUGGCUCACCAAGGCGACGAUCUUUAGCUGGUCUGAGAGGAUGAUCAGCCACACUGGGACUGAGACACGGCCCAGACUCCUACGGGAGGCAGCAGUGGGGAAUAUUGGACAAUGGGCGCAAGCCUGAUCCAGCCAUGCCGCGUGAGUGAUGAAGGCCUUAGGGUUGUAAAGCUCUUUCAGUGGGGAAGAUAAUGACGGUACCCACAGAAGAAGCCCCGGCUAACUUCGUGCCAGCCGCCGCAGUAA
rnacentral:rRNA from 1 species